rnacentral:rRNA from 1 species
UACGGGGGGAGCAAGCGUUGUUCGGAUUUACUGGGCGUAAAGGGCGCGUAGGCGGCCACUUCAAGUCAGUUGUGAAAUCUCCGGGCUUAACCCGGAAAGGUCAACUGAUACUGCAGGGCUAGAGUGCAGAAGGGGCAACUGGAAUUCUCGGUGUAGCGGUGAAAUGCGUAGAUAUCAGGAGGAACACCGGUGGCGAAGGCGGUUCUCUGGGCAUGUCCUGACGCUGAGGAGCGAAAGUGUGGGGAGCGAACAGG